rfam:TPA: Bos taurus chromosome 20, whole genome shotgun sequence.
UCCCUGGUAGCUCAGCUGGUAAAGAAUCAGUCUGUAAUGCAGGAGCCCCAGGUUCGAUUCCUGGUUUGGGAA